rnacentral:rRNA from 1 species
CCUACGGGUGGCAGCAGUCGGGAAUCAUUCACAAUGGGGGGAACCCUGAUGCUGCGACGCCGCGUGGGGGAAUGAAGGUCUUCGGAUUGUAAACCCCUGUCAUGUGGGAGCAAAUUAAAAAGAUAGUACCACAAGAGGAAGAGACGGCUAACUCUGUGCCAGCAGCCGCGGUAAUACAGAGGUCUCAAGCGUUGUUCGGAAUCACUGGGCGUAAAGCGUGCGUAGGCUGUUUCGUAAGUCGUGUGUGAAAGGCGCGGGCUCAACCCGCGGACGGCACAUGAUACUGCGAGACUAGAGUGAUGGAGGGGGAACCGGAAUUCUCGGUGUAGCAGUGAAAUGCGUAGAUAUCGAGAGGAACACUCGUGGCGAAGGCGGGUUCCUGGACAUUAACUGACGCUGAGGCACGAAGGCCAGGGGAGCGAAAGGGAUUAGAUACCCGAGUAGUC